UGAUCCUCAACAAACUCGUCUCCAUUGCGGCGUGAUGACUCCGACUUCCAACCAGAUGGAACUGGAUUAAUAUUCUGAAUGUUCUGAUUCAAUCUGACUUCUGACCUGUAAUGCUGCCUGGAUCAUAAUCAUACACUGUUCGCUCGUUGGCCAGAGGAGAACUGGCCCCCGACUGAGCCUGGGUUCUCCCAAGGUUUUUUUCUCCAUCCAAUCUGAUGGAGUUUUGGUUCCUUGCCACUGUCGCCUUGCUUUUGGCUUGCUUAGUUGGGGAUAUUUAAUAUUCAACAAUAUUAUUGAACUGUGUUGUACUACUUUCAUGUUAUCACUGUGAAGCUGCUUUGAUGCAAUCUGUAUUGUGAAAAGCGCUAUAUAAAUAAAUGUGACUUGACUUGACUUCAUU